CACGUAGGGUGCGAGCGUUGUCCGGAAUUAUUGGGCGUAAAGAGCUCGUAGGCGGUGUGUCGCGUCGGCCGUGAAAACCUGCAGCUUAACUGUGGGCGUGCGGUCGAUACGGGCAUCACUGGAGUUCGGCAGGGGAGACUGGAAUUCCUGGUGUAGCGGUGAAAUGCGCAGAUAUCAGGAGGAACACCGGUGGCGAAGGCGGGUCUCUGGGCCGAUACUGACGCUGAGGUGCGAAAGCGUGGGGAGCAAACAGG
rnacentral:rRNA from 1 species